UUGGGGUUUGAACCCAGGAUGUGUUACAGGUUGUAUCCUAGACAGUUUGGGGUUUGAACCCAGGAUGUGUUACAGGUUGUAUCCUAGACAGUUUGGGGUUUGAACCCAGGAUGUGUUACAGGUUGUAUCCUAGACAGUUUGGGGUCCGAUCCCAGGAUGUGUUACAGGUUGUAUCCUAGACAGUUUGGGGUCCGAUCCCAGGAUGUGUUACAGGUUGUAUCCUAGAUAUUUGGGGUUUGAACCCAGGAUGUGUUACAGGUUGUAUCCUAGACAGUUUGGGGUUUGAACCCAGGAUGUGUUACAGGUUGUAUCCUAGACAGUUUGGGGUUUGAACCCAGGAUGUGUUACAGGUUGUAUCCUAGACAGUUUGGGGUUUGAACCCAGGAUGUGUGACAGGUUGUAUCCUAGACAGUUUGGGGUUUGAACCCAGGAUGUGUUACAGGUUGUAUCCUAGACAGUUUGGGGUUUGAACCCAGGAUGUGUUACAGGUUGUAUCCUAGACAGUUUGGGGUUUGAACCCAGGAUGUGUUACAGGUUGUAUCCUAGACAGUUUGGGGUUUGAACCCAGGAUGUGUUACAGGUUGUAUCCUAGACAGUUUGGGGUUCGAACCCAGGAUGUGUUACAGGUUGUAUCCUAGACAGUUUGGGGUUCGAACCCAGGAUGUGUUACAGGUUGUAUCCUAGACAGUUUGGGGUUCGAACCCAGGAUGUGUUACAGGUUGUAUCCUAGACAGUUUGGGGUUUGAACCCAGGAUGUGUUACAGGUUGUAUCCUAGACAGUUUGGGGUUUGA